CUACGGGCCGCAGCAGUGGGGAAUAUUGGACAAUGGGGGAAACCCUGAUCCAGCAAUGCCGCGUGUGUGAAGAAGGCCUGCGGGUUGUAAAGCACUUUCGGUUGGGAGGACUGCUUCUAGCACUAAUAUUGUUGGAAGUUGACGUUACCUUCAGAAGAAGCACCGGCUAACUCCGUGCCAGCAGCCGCGGUAAUACGGAGGGUGCAAGCGUUAAUCGGAAUUACUGGGCGUAAAGCGCGCGUAGGCGGCUAGAUCAGUCGGGUGUGAAAGCCCCGGGCUUAACCUGGGAACUGCAUCCGAUACUGUCUAGCUUGAGUACAGGAGAGGAGAGCGGAAUUCCACAUGUAGCGGUGAAAUGCGUAGAUAUGUGGAGGAACACCAAUGGCGAAGGCAGCUCUCUGGCCUGAUACUGACGCUGAGGUGCGAAAGCGUGGGGAGCAAGCAGGAUUAGAUACCCUCGUAGUC
rnacentral:rRNA from 1 species